AGGGGAAUAGCUCAGUGGUAGAGCUAAUAGCUCAGGGGUACCGCUCUCAUGGUAGAGCGCAUGUUCAACACACACGAGGUCCUGGGUUCAAUGCCCAGUACCUCCA
rnacentral:tRNA from 1 species